rnacentral:rRNA from 1 species
CGACGAAUCUUCCGCAAUGCGCGAAAGCGUGACGGAGCAAUGCCGCGUGUGGGAUGAAGCGGCUCCGCCGUGUAAACCACUGUCAGGGGUCAGUAACACUGAACAGCCCCAAAGGAAGGGCCGGCUAACCUCGUGCCAGCAGCCGCGGUAAGACGAGGGGCCCGAGCGUUAAGCGGAAUCACUGGGCUUAAAGGGUGCGCAGGCGGAUGCGCAGGUGUCUUGUGAAAUCCCCCGGCUCAACCGGGGAAUUGCAGGGCAAACCGCGCGUCUUGAGGGGAGCAGAGGCCGUCGGAACGAUCGGUGGAGCGGUGAAAUGCAUAGAUAUCGAUCGGAACGCCAAAGGUGAAGACAGGCGGCUGGGCUCGUCCUGACGCUCAGGCACGAAAGCGUGGGGAGCGAACGGGAUUAGAUACCCCCGUAGUCC